AUGAACGCUGGCGGCGUGCCUAAUACAUGCAAGUCGAGCGAACAGACGAGGAGCCUGCUCCUCUGACGUUAGCGGCGGACGGGUGAGUAACACGUGGAUAACCUACCUAUAAGACUGGGAUAACUUCGGGAAACCGGAGCUAAUACCGGAUAAUAUAUUGAACCGCAUGGUUCAAUAGUGAAAGACGGUUUUGCUGUCACUUAUAGAUGGAUCCGCGCCGCAUUAGCUAGUUGGUAAGGUAACGGCUUACCAAGGCAACGAUGCGUAGCCGACCUGAGAGGGUGAUCGGCCACACUGGAACUGAGACACGGUCCAGACUCCUACGGGAGGCAGCAGUAGGGAAUCUUCCGCAAUGGGCGAAAGCCUGACGGAGCAACGCCGCGUGAGUGAUGAAGGUCUUCGGAUCGUAAAACUCUGUUAUUAGGGAAGAACGAAUGUGUAAGUAACUAUGCACGUCUUGACGGUACCUAAUCAGAAAGCCACGGCUAACUACGUG
rnacentral:rRNA from 1 species